rnacentral:rRNA from 1 species
CCUACGGGUGGCUGCAGUGGGGAAUAUUGGACAAUGGGGGGAACCCUGAUCCAGCCAUGCCGCGUGUGUGAAGAAGGCCCUCGGGUUGUAAAGCACUUUCAGUGAGGAAGAACGCCUGGUGGUUAAUACCCAUCAGGAAAGACAUCACUCACAGAAGAAGCACCGGCUAACUCCGUGCCAGCAGCCGCGGUAAUACGGAGGGUGCGAGCGUUAAUCGGAAUUACUGGGCGUAAAGCGCGCGUAGGUGGCUUGAUAAGCCGGUUGUGAAAGCCCCGGGCUCAACCUGGGAAAGGCAUCCGGAACUGUCAAGCUAGAGUGCAGGAGAGGAAGGUAGAAUUCCCGGUGUAGCGGUGAAAUGCGUAGAGAUCGGGAGGAAUACCAGUGGCGAAGGCGGCCUUCUGGACUGACACUGACACUGAGGUGCGAAAGCGUGGGUAGCAAACAGGAUUAGAUACCCCUGUAGUC